UAUGUUGUCAAGUUGAGU
rnacentral:siRNA from 1 species